CUUGUUUUUGUUUGCUGGUGUCAUGCUAGAUACUUGUCUCAUUUUCUCCUUUCCUUCUCCUGUAUUUCUAGUUGCCUCAUAAAGUUACUAAUACACCUGGCGCCGUUAAUAUCUUGGCUUCUACACUUGCAGACAAUCCUGAAAGAAGUCCUUGACCACUGCUCUAAGCUUCGAACCAGCUUUCAGCCUCAUAUGGCUUUCAACGAAGUGUUUCUCCUGAUCUGGGAUUCAGAGCCUGCACCUGUUUCUGAAGUGACUUCUUAAAUUUUCACUUCGGGACAACGCUGUCUCCUUGACCCUUCAUCUGAAGGUAAGACCUGCCAUUUCAACUCGCAGCACCACACCAACGUUGUUGGCUAUAGCACUCCUGAAGACAGCUGUCAUGUAUCCACCCCUUGACAAAGUGUUCAUCCGUGCCUGUGUGUCAGGCUUCUGAGGGAUUCAUGCACAGAGGCAUGCUGCCUCACAUGCAAGAGCUGCUCUCCAGCCAGACACCUCGCUCCAUGGUUUGCAAGGGCCUUCUAGCAAUUACCCAAAUCUGACAUAUGUGCAAUACAUGCACUCUAAAGCCUAUGACCUCUAUGCAGGGACACCACCCAACUUGAGUGAGCAGUAAAAGAGGAAGUACAGAUGGGCUAUAACCUGAAUUUACAGCUACAGCUGGAACUCCUGGUUGCUGACAUUGCGUUCACCAGGAUCUGUCUCAGCCUGUACCUGGAAGCUCAUUCAUAAAACAUCUGCAUAAAGCAGGACCUUCUUUCUUUCCAAAACUCCAGAGGAAAAGAGUUCUGGUAUCUCAUGUGGCAUGUCUGUAAUCCUAUGGUUUCCUAACCCCAGAGCAGAUUCCUGCACUACCCUGA